rnacentral:lncRNA from 1 species
CAUGUGACUCAAACACCUUCCUCUGCUCCUGCUCCGGCUCCUUACCACCACGGCCACCACCACCCACACCCUCCCCAUCCCCACCAUCCUCACCCGCACCCUCCGGCAAAAGCCCCUGUUAAGCCACCGGUUUCUCCACCAGCUAAACCUCCGGUUAAGCCUCCAGUUUACCCUCCAGCCAAAGCCCCAGUCAAGCCCCCAACUAAGCCCCCUGUUAAACCACCAGUUUCUCCACCAGCCAAACCUCCGGUUAAGCCCCCGGUUUACCCUCCGACCAAAGCCCCGGUUAAGCCCCCAGUUAAACCUCCAGUUAAGCCACCAGUUUCACCACCAGCCAAGCCUCCGGUUAAGCCCCCUGUUUACCCUCCGACCAAAGCCCCUACUAAGCCCCCAACUAAACCCCCGGUUAAGCCUCCUGUCUCUCCUCCAGCCAAGCCACCGGUGAAGCCACCGGUUUACCCGCCGAAGUUUAACAGGAGCCUAGUCGCCGUUCAGGGUACGGUCUUCUGCAAAAGCUGCAAAUACGCUUCUUACGACUCGCUCACUGGCGCCAAACCAGUU